rnacentral:RNase_P_RNA from 1 species
GGAGCAGGCCAGACCGCCGCCUGUGCAAGUGCCGAAAGGCCGCAUGGGAGGAAGGUCCGGACUGCACAGAGCAGCGUAGCGGGUAACGCCCGUCCACCGUAAGGUGCGGAUCAGAGCCACAGAGACGAGCCGGUUAAGUCCGGGUGAAACGCGGCAAUCUCUACGCGCAGCAACACCAAAUAGGCCAGCAUUGAAGCGGCUCGCUGAGCUGGCGGGUAGGUGGCAUUGAGCAGGGGUGGUAACACCCCAGCCCAGAGGAAUGGCGGUCACGCGGCAGGCUUCGCAAGAAGCCUGCUGUGCACAGAAUCCGGCCUAUCGGCUUGCUCCACAC